CUACGGGAGGCAGCAGUGGGGAAUAUUGCACAAUGGGCGCAAGCCUGAUGCAGCCAUGCCGCGUGUAUGAAGAAGGCCUUCGGGUUGUAAAGUACUUUCAGCGGGGAGGAAGGCGAUGNGGUUAAUAACCGCGUCGAUUGACGUUACCCGCAGAAGAAGCACCGGCUAAC
rnacentral:rRNA from 1 species